rnacentral:rRNA from 1 species
UGAUAUUAAAAAAUUAUUAAUAUAUUUAUAUAUUAAUAAUAAUAAAUUAAUAAAUUGAUUAAAAAUAAAAUCCAUAUAUAAUAAAAAUAAUGAUAUUAAUUAUCUUUAAAUAAAUAAUAAAGAAAUAUAAUUAUAUAUAUAUUUAUAUAAAAUUAUAUUUAUAAUAGUCUUAACUAAUAAUUGUGCCAGCAGUUGCGGUCAUACAAUGAAGGCAAGCGUUAAUCAUAAUGGUUUAAAGAAUCCGUAGAAUUAAAAAUAAAUUAGAGUUAAUAAAUUUAAUUAAAGAAUUAUAAUAGUAAGGAUGAAAUAAUAAUAAUAAUUAUAAGACUGGUAUAUGUGAAAAUAUUAAUUAAAUAUUAACUGACAUUGAGGGAUGAAGACUAAAGUAGCAAAACAGAUUCGAUACCUGUGUAGUUUUAGUAGUAAACGAUGAAUACCAUAUUUAUUAAUAAAUUUAAUAAAUAUAUAUGAAAAUGUAAGUAUUCCACCUGAAGAGUAUAUUAGCAAUAAUGAAACUCAA